rfam:Strigomonas culicis Cont11866, whole genome shotgun sequence.
GGACCACAUUGGAGUUGUGUCCUGGCCCCAUCCGUGGCCUCGCUUGCACACUCACGUGGCCCAAGA